GUGGGGAAUAUUGGACAAUGGGCGAAAGCCUGAUCCAGCAAUGCCGCGUGAGUGAUGAAGGCCUUAGGGUUGUAAAGCUCUUUUACCAGGGAUGAUAAUGACAGUACCUGGAGAAUAAGCUCCGGCUAACUCCGUGCCAGCAGCCGCGGUAAUACGGAGGGAGCUAGCGUUGUUCGGAAUUACUGGGCGUAAAGCGCACGUAGGCGGUUACUCAAGUCAGAGGUGAAAGCCCGGGGCUCAAACCCGGAACUGCCUUUGAAACUAGGUAACUAGAAUCUUGGAGAGGUCAGUGGAAUUCCGAGUGUAGAGGUGAAAUUCGUAGAUAUUCGGAAGAACACCAGUGGCGAAGGCGACUGACUGGACAAGUAUUGACGCUGAGGUGCGAAAGCGUGGGGAGCAAACAGGAUUAGAUACCCUAGUAGUCC
rnacentral:rRNA from 1 species